AUUGAACGCUGGCGGCAGGCCUAACACAUGCAAGUCGAACGGUAACAGGAAACAGCUUGCUGUUUCGCUGACGAGUGGCGGACGGGUGAGUAAUGUCUGGGAAACUGCCUGAUGGAGGGGGAUAACUACUGGAAACGGUAGCUAAUACCGCAUAACGUCGCAAGACCAAAGAGGGGGACCUUCGGGCCUCUUGCCAUCGGAUGUGCCCAGAUGGGAUUAGCUAGUAGGUGGGGUAACGGCUCACCUAGGCGACGAUCCCUAGCUGGUCUGAGAGGAUGACCAGCCACACUGGAACUGAGACACGGUCCAGACUCCUACGGGAGGCAGCAGUGGGGAAUAUUACACAAUGGGCGCAAGCCUGAUGCAGCCAUGCCGCGUGUAUGAAGAAGGCCUUCGGGUUGUAAAGUACUUUCAGCGGGGAGGAAGGGAGCAAAGUUAAUACCUUUACUCAUUGACGUUACCCGCAGAAGAAGCACCGGCUAACUCCGUG
rnacentral:rRNA from 1 species